rnacentral:rRNA from 3 species
CGCUGCUUCCAUGCAGUCGUACCAAUGAACCCCUACUUGCUGGGGUGGAUGAGUGGCGAACGGGUGAGUAACACGUGAGUAACCUUCCCUUGACUCUGGGAUAAGCCCGGGAAACUGGGUCUAAUACCGGAUAUGACCUCCUGUCGCAUGGUGGGGGGUGGAAAGAUUUAUCGGUCUUGGAUGGACUCGCGGCCUAUCAGCUUGUUGGUGAGGUAAUGGCUCACCAAGGCGACGACGGGUAGCCGGCCUGAGAGGGUGACCGGCCACACUGGGACUGAGACACGGCCCAGACUCCUACGGGAGGCAGCAGUGGGGAAUAUUGCACAAUGGGCGCAAGCCUGAUGCAGCGACGCCGCGUGAGGGAUGACGGCCUUCGGGUUGUAAACCUCUUUCAGUAGGGAAGAAGCCUUCGGGUGACGGUACCUGCAGAAGAAGCGCCGGCUAACUACGUGCCAGCAGCCGCGGUAAUACGUAGGGCGCGAGCGUUAUCCGGAAUUAUUGGGCGUAAAGAGCUCGUAGGCGGUUUGUCGCGUCUGCCGUGAAAGUCCGGGGCUUAACCCCGGAUCUGCGGUGGGUACGGGCAGACUAGAGUGCAGUAGGGGAGACCGGAAUUCCUGGUGUAGCGGUGAAAUGCGCAGAUAUCAGGAGGAACACCGAUGGCGAAGGCAGGUCUCUGGGCUGUUACUGACGCUGAGGAGCGAAAGCAUGGGGAGCGAACAGGAUUAGAUACCCUGGUAGUCCAUGCCGUAAACGUUGGGCACUAGGUGUGGGGGACAUUCCACGUUUUCCGCGCCGCAGCUAACGCAUUAAGUGCCCCGCCUGGGGAGUACGGCCGCAAGGCUAAAACUCAAAGGAAUUGACGGGGGCCCGCACAAGCGGCGGAGCAUGCGGAUUAAUUCGAUGCAACGCGAAGAACCUUACCAAGGCUUGACAUGUUCUCGAUCGCCACAGAGAUGUGGUUUCCCCUUUGGGGCGGGUUCACAGGUGGUGCAUGGUUGUCGUCAGCUCGUGUCGUGAGAUGUUGGGUUAAGUCCCGCAACGAGCGCAACCCUCGUUCCAUGUUGCCAGCGGGUUAUGCCGGGGACUCAUGGGAGACUGCCGGGGUCAACUCGGAGGAAGGUGGGGACGACGUCAAAUCAUCAUGCCCCUUAUGUCUUGGGCUUCACGCAUGCUACAAUGGCCGGUACAAUGGGUUGCGAUACUGUGAGGUGGAGCUAAUCCCAAAAAGCCGGUCUCAGUUCGGAUUGGGGUCUGCAACUCGACCCCAUGAAGUCGGAGUCGCUAGUAAUCGCAGAUCAGCAACGCUGCGGUGAAUACGUUCCCGGGCCUUGUACACACCGCCCGUCAAGUCACGAAAGUCGGUAACACCCGAAGCCGGGAGAGAAGAUCCUUGGUCAAGAUAACGCUGCUAGC